rnacentral:rRNA from 1 species
GACGAACGCUGGCGGCGUGCUUAACACAUGCAAGUCGAACGAGUGGCGAACGGGUGAGUAAUGUCUGGGAAACUGCCUGAUGGAGGGGGAUAACUACUGGAAACGGUAGCUAAUACCGCAUACCAUCAGCUGUGCCCAGAUGGGAUUAGCUAGUAGGUGGGGUAAUGGCGCACCUAGGCGACGAUCCCUAACUGGUCGUAGAGGAUGACCAGCCACACUGGAACUGAGACACGGUCCAGAUUCCUACGUGAGGCAGCAGUGGGGAAUAUUGCACAAUGGGCGCAAGCCUGAUGCAGCCAUGCCGCGUGUGUGAAGAAGGCCUUCGGGUUGUAAAGCACUUUCAGCGAGGAGGCUUUACUCGCAGAAGAAGCACCGGCUAACUCCGUGCCAGCCGCCGCGUAAUUC